GUGCCAGCAGCCGCGGUAAGACGAAGGGGGCGAGCGUUAUCCGGAAUGACUGGGCGUAAAGGGUCCGUAGGCAGCAUUUUUUGUUAAUUGUGAAAGAAAAAAGCCCAACUUUUUUUAGCUUUUAAUACAUUAAUGCUUAGAGUUUGAGAGGGGAUAGCAGAGUUUCACAUGGAGGGGUGAUAUCCGUAGAUAUGUGAAGGAAUACCAGAGGCGAAGGCGGCUAUCUAGCUCAAUACUGACGUUGAGGGACGAAAGCAUGGGGAGCAAACAGGAUUAGAUACCCUGGUAGUCCAUGCCCUAAAAGAUGAGUGCUCGUGCUUAGAGAUUUUUAGGCACUUAGUUAACACGUUAAGCACUCCGCCUGGGGAGUACGACCGCAAGGUUGGAACUCAAAGGAAUUGACGGGGGCCUAUACAAGUGGUGGAGCAUGUGGUUUAAUGCGACAAUACGCGCGAAACCUUACCAGUUCUUGACAUAUAAAUGAAAAAGUCUGCAGAGAUUUUUUUUAAGGUUUUUACAGGUGCUGCAUGGCUGUCGUCAGCUCGUGUCGUGAGAUGUUAGGUUAACUCCUUUUAACGGGCGAAACCCCUGUUUCUAGUUGCCACUUAGAUUUUAAUCUAAAGCACUCUAGGAAGACAGUUCCAUUCUUUUAGAAUGGAUAGGAAGGUGGGGAUGACGUCAAGUCCUUAUGGCCCUUAUGAACUGGGCUACCCACGUGCUACAAUGGUAAAGACAAUGGGAAGCAAGAAGGUAACUUGGAGCCAAUCCCAAAACUUUGCCAAAGUUCGGAUUGUGGACUGCAACUCGUCCACA
rnacentral:rRNA from 1 species